rnacentral:rRNA from 1 species
GACAGAGGGUGCAAACGUUGUUCGGAUUUACUGGGCGUAAAGCGUGUGUAGGCGGCUUCGUAAGUUGGAUGUGAAAUCCCACGGCUCAACCGUGGACGUGCAUCCAAAACUGCGUCGCUGGAGUCUCGGAGAGGAAGGUGGAAUGCUUGGUGUAGAGGUGAAAUUCGUAGAUAUCAAGCAGAACACCUGCGGCGAAGGCGGCCUUCUGGACGAUGACUGACGCUGAGACACGAAAGCGUGGGGAGCAAACAGG